GAAAUAGAUAUAUAGAUGGGAAAAGAUAACUAGAUAUAGCAAUAGAUAAUUAGAAAUAGAAAAAGAUUAAUAUUGGAAAAGAUAGUGAUAGCGAAUGUUCAAUAUUUUUGUAUACAAACACUAUAGAUUUCUCUAUGUAGUGUUUGCAUGUUAACUGGGUUAGGAGGGGGCAGGCAUAGACACCGAGCUGUCAGUCAGCUUGCAAAUGCGCAUACAGCACACGUGCGGUAGAGAGCUCAGUUUUUUCAUGGAGCGACAUUCAAUGCUGCUCUAUGAAGAAAAUGAUUGGUGCAGCACAAAGCAAGGCAUGUACACCAGAGAGCAAUGAUGCUUCUCAAAGAAAAGCAUCCUAUUUGGCCCUGUGAUUUCCUCAUUUCUACUAAAAAACCGGCAUGGCCUGAGUAGGAGCUCGGCAGGAAGUUUUAAUGCUAAAAAGGGCUAAAAAUAAAAUGCACAAUUAUAUAAAAAGGUCCUGAAUUUCUGUGCCAGACACAUGGAAGGUUAUUCCCAAAACCUUUAAAAUCAAAUAUUUCUAUGGAAAGUGUCAGCGCAAUGAGAGAUUCCCCUAAAUGUUAUACACAAGGGGAGUCUGUUUCAAAAGGACUGUUUUUGUGCAGAGUUUACUUUCCACCUCCAGUGGCGGAUAUGAGAUCUGGGGUGGUCUUAAUGUGUUGUCCUUGUUGUAACCAGGUUGUGUGAUACUUUGUAUUCAAAGUGAAUUGUUACAUUCUUG